UGGGGAAUAUUGCACAAUGGGCGAAAGCCUGAUGCAGCAACGCCGCGUGAGUGAUGAAGGUCUUCGGAUUGUAAAGCUCUGUCUUUUGGGACGAUAAUGACGGUACCAAAGGAGGAAGCCACGGCUAACUACGUGCCAGCAGCCGCGGUAAUACGUAGGUGGCGAGCGUUGUCCGGAUUUACUGGGCGUAAAGGGUGCGUAGGCGGAUGUUUAAGUGAGAUGUGAAAUACCCGGGCUUAACUUGGGUGCUGCAUUUCAAACUGGAUAUCUAGAGUGCAGGAGAGGAGAAUGGAAUUCCUAGUGUAGCGGUGAAAUGCGUAGAGAUUAGGAAGAACACCAGUGGCGAAGGCGAUUCUCUGGACUGUAACUGACGCUGAGGCACGAAAGCGUGGGUAGCAAACAGGAUUAGAUACCCUGGUAGUCCACGCCGUAAACGAUGAGUACUGGGUGUAGGAGGUAUCGACCCCUUCUGUGCCGCAGUAAACACAUUAAGUACUCCGCCUGGGAAGUAC
rnacentral:rRNA from 1 species